rnacentral:misc_RNA from 1 species
GGAAUUUUGGACAAUGGGCGCAAGCCUGAUCCAGCCAUGCCGCGUGUCUGAAGAAGGCCUUCGGGUUGUAAAGGACUUUUGUCAGGGAAGAAAAGGACAGGGUUAAUACCUCUGUUUGAUGACGGUACCUGAAGAAUAAGCACCGGCUAACUACGUGCCAGCAGCCGCGGUAAUACGUAGGGUGCGAGCGUUAAUCGGAAUUACUGGGCGUAAAGCGAGCGCAGACGGUUACUUAAGCAGGAUGUGAAAUCCCCGGGCUCAACCUGGGAACUGCGUUCUGAACUGGGUGACUAGAGUGUGUCAGAGGGAGGUAGAAUUCCACGUGUAGCAGUGAAAUGCGUAGAGAUGUGGAGGAAUACCGAUGGCGAAGGCAGCCUCCUGGGAUAACACUGACGUUCAUGCUCGAAAGCGUGGGUAGCAAACAGGA